rnacentral:lncRNA from 1 species
GCCCCUGCCUGCGCUGAGGCUGCCGAGCCUGAGAAAUCCCAAAAGGGGCCUCGGCGGCGGGCUCUGGAUCCCGCUGGGGGGCUCUGACCCUGCCAAGUCUGGGCACUCCGCUGCGGGCCUCCUGGCUCCCGGGGUUCAUGGCUGUUAUGGUUCCUGGCUGUCGGGGCUCCUGGCUUUCGGGGCUCCCUGGCUGAAGGGGCUCCUGGCUGUAGGGGCUCCUGGCUAUGGAGGUUCCCGGUUAUAAGGGCUUCUGGAUGUAGUGGAUUCUGGCCGUCGAGGUCCCUGGCUGUCGGGGCUCCUGGCCGUAAUGGCCCCUGGCUGUCGGGACCCCUGGGUGUCGGGGUUCCUGGCUGUCGGGACCCCUGGGUGUCGGGGUUCCUGACUGUAGGGGCUCCUGGGUGUUAGGGUUCCUGGCUAUAGCAGGGGCUCCUGGGUGUCGGGGUUCCUUGCUGUCAGGGCUCCUGGUGGUAGAGGCUUCUUGCUGUUGGCUUCCUGGCUGUCGGGGUGACUGGGUGUCAGGGCUCCUGGUGUUAGGGUUCCUGGCUUCCUGGCUGUAGUAGGGGCUCCUGGGUGUCGGGGUUCCUUGCUGUCAGGGCUCCUGGUGGUAGAGGCUUCUGGCUGUUGGGGUUCCUGGGUGCCAGGGCUCCUGGGUGUCAGGGUUCCUGGCUGUCAGGACACCUGACUCCUGAGGCUCCUGGCUUUUGGGGCUCCAGACCUUCCUUGCACUUCCUGUGUCUCCUGGGUCUGUAAUAGAAGGGGCCGGUGGAGGGGUGGGGGUGAGACAUGUGAGUGAAAGUGAAGUCAGAUGUGUACAUUUAGGAAGCUGAAAUUAUCAAAAAUGAAAUUGCAUAAAGGUGAGGAAGAACUGGGAGGUCUGGGAACAGAAGUGGUAGAUCUUGAACUUCAACACAGACAGGGUGCUUCCAAUUCAGUCCUGGGACCUGAACCCGGAGCCCACAGCAUGUCCCUCCUCCCCUGGCCCUCCGCGCGUGCCGCCACUCAUUGCAGCCCCACAGAGCCAUCACCCAUUGUAACCUCAGAACAGAAGGGGCUGGGUGGGUCCACAGAUCCCUGCACUCCUCCCGUCUUGCCUCCUUGGAUGAUCCCUGGCUUGUCUUUCUCCCUUGGGAAUCCCCCUGAUGUUGGCUCUCCAUGUGGUGUACUCUGUACCCCACACCCCAUGCUUCCCACACACCUUCUGGCCUGAGUAAUCUCCAUGCCCCCAGUGACAUCAACCUCCAGGGAAACCUCAAUAGCAAGCCCAGAACCCUCCCCUGCAUCCCAGAGCCUAGCAUCCACUAACUUUGAGGAGGGGCCAUCUUUUAUUGGAUAUCCCCAAACCACACUGGGCCUUCCCUCCAAAGUGCCUCUCCUCUUGGUUCCCAUCUCAGGGAACACCAUCGCUCCCACCCAGACACUUGGGGCUCCUUCUGACUGGUCCCCCUGCUGUCCCUGGGCUUUGAGGCCAAGCCCCCACAGAGCCUUCCCUACUAGCCAGGUGUUCCCAGGCCUCCUUUGCUUGCUUCUACCGUGGCCUGUCUCAUGUUGUAGAACUGUGCUUGUCCUCCAUUGGCCUGUGUUCUUAAAGGGCAGGAGCUGAUCUGUGUCUCAGUGCCUGGAUCAGAGUCAGACACAUAGGAGGUACUCAGUCCAUGCUAACAGCUGCCAGAGGACUGGGCUCACUGGAUUGCAAAGACUUCGUACGAGAAAAGUAGCAUAUCAUUCAUACUUUUUAUAUUGAUUACAUGUUGAAAUGAGGAUAUUUGGAUAUAUUCGGUUUUCUGAAAUAUAUUAUUUAAAUUGGUCUCUUUUACCUUUGGCUCCUGAGAAAUGUCUAAUUUCAUAGGCAACUUUCAUUCGUGGCCCUUGAAUUUUCUUGGGCAGCACUACUGUGGUGUUUAAAAGCCUUUUGGAGCCUGUCACAUGUAUACCUCACCUGGAGAAAUACAUGGUAUUGAACACGGUAAAUUGUGUUAUUUAAAAUGCAACAGGAGAGUGAUGAGGAACCAUUUUGUAUCUUGCCUGUGGUGGUGAGAACACAAACUAAACAUGAUAAAAUUGUAUAGAACUUGGCUGGGUGCUCUGACUCACACCUGUAAUCCCAACAAUUUGGAAACCCCAGACAGGAGGAUCACUUGAGCCGAGGAGUUGGAGACCAGCCGGGCAACAUAGGAAGACCCGGUCUCUACAAAAAUAUAUAUAUAUAUAUGAGUCAGGCAUGGUGGCUCACACUUGUGGGCCCAGGUAGGUGAGAGGCUGAGGUGAGAAGAUCACUUGAGCCUGGGAGUUGGAGGCUGCAGUGAGCCAUGAUCCUGCCACUGCUACUGCCCACUAACCUGGGCGACAGAGCAAGACCCUGUCUCAAAAACAAAAACAACGCACACACACACACACACGCAUGCACGCGCGCACGAGUACAAGUAAAACUGGGAAAAUCUGAAAAAGAUCAGUCGAUUGUUUAUAAAUAUCAACAUCCUGGUUGCAGUAUUACAGUUUUGCAAGGUGUUGUCAUCGGAAGAAAGUGUACACAGGAUCUGUAUUAUUUCUCACAACUGCAUGUGAAUCUACAGUUGUUUUAAACUAAAAAGUUUAGUUAAAAACCAUGUAAAUAAGACUUUAAAGUUUACUAUGAAAAGAAUGCAAUAGGAGGGAAAAAAGACACCAUGUCAAAAAAAAAGAAAAAGAUACCAUGUCAUAAAACAAGAUACACAUUCUGGUUAUCACUUUUUUUCUUUUCUUUUCUUUGAGAUGGAGUUUUGCUCCUGUUGGCCAGGCUGGAGUGCAAUGGCGUGAUGUCGGCUCACCGCAACCUCCACCUCCCGGGUUCAAGCGAUUCUCCUGCCUCAGCCUCCCAAGUAGCUGGGAUUACAGGUGUGUGCCACCACGCCCGCCUAAUUUUGUAUUUUUAGUAGAGACGGAGUUUCUCCAUGUUGGUCAGGCUGGUCUCGAACUCCUGACCUCAGGUGAUCCGCCCGCCUCGGCUUCCCAAAGUGCUGGGAUUGCAGGUGUGAGCCACUGUGCCCGGCCUGUGAUUAUCAUUUUUAAGUAGAAUUGAAUGUAAAUAAAACAUAUAACUAUAUCAGUGAAUGGCUCAUAGAAAAGGGUCUCCAGAAGGAUGCUCCCCAAAUUAUUAUCAGAGCUUGCCUCCAGAGGGCAGAAACAGAGGAGAGCUAAAGGGAGGCCCUUCACUUUGACUUACACACUUCUUUGUGUCAUUUGCUUGUUUUCUAAUAGCAUAGACUGCUUUUGACAUUUAAAAAAUAAUGAAAUUGUAUUGCACAGGGGAAAUGUGCUAUAGUGAAUCCUUUUCAAAAAAAAAAGCAGUAAUCACCCCUCAAAUGUGGCUGUUUUAUAAAUGCUGAUUUUUCUUUUAUUUUUUAUUUUUUGAGACGGAGUCUUGCCCUGUCACCCAGACUGGAGUGCAGUAGCGCGAUCUGAGCUCACUGCAAGCUCCGCCUCCCGGGUUCAUGCCAUUCUCCUACCUCAGCCUCCCGAGUAGCUAGGAAUAGAGGCGCCUGCCACCACGCCCGGCUAAUUUUUUGUAUUUUUAGUAGAGAUGGGGUUUCACCGUGUUAGCCAGGAUGGUCUCGAUCUCCCGACCUCGUGAUCCGCCCACCUCGGCCUCCCAAAGUGCUGGGAUUACAGGCGUGAGCCACCGCCCCCGGCCCGCUGAUUUUUCUUUUAAAUGGAAUUUGCUGAAAGUGGCACAAACCAGUUGCAGAGCAGACUCUAAAAAAAAUGCUAUGAAAACUCCUGGAUAACACUUCCAUUUCUGCCCUUUUUGUAGUUUAUUAUUGUAGGGGCCACAGGAAAGCUUCUCCUUAGCCCUCUGAUGGUUUGCUGAAAAUCACUGACAAAAGGCAGAUUAAUAGGAGAAAAGAUAAACAAAUUUAUUUGAUCACAGUUUCACGUGACACGUGAAGACUCAAAGAUACAGGGAAAACUGUCCAUUUGUAUGCUUAGGUUCAACGAAGUAUGGACAGUUAUGUAGAAAUACGAUUGGACAAAAUGGGUAUGCUCUUAUGCUAGCAGAACUCACUGGGGGCUUUGCAGAUGCUGACGCCCCCCAGAACCCCCUGCUACCAGCCAUGGUCAAUCCCACCAUGUUCUUCAACAUGGCCGUCAAUGGCAAGCCCUGGGGCCAUCAAACAGCCCUUCGAGCUGUUUGCAGACAAGAUUCCAAAGACAGCAGAACACUUGCAUGCUCUGAGCACUGGAGGGAAAGGAUUUUGUCAUGAGGGUUCCUGCUUUCACAGAAUUAUUCCAGGGCUUAUGUGUUAGGGUGGUGGCUUCACACGCCGUAAUGGCGCUGGUGGCAAGUCCAUCUACAGGGAGAAAUUUGAUGAUGAAAACUGUAGCCUGAAGCAUACAGGUCCCGGCAUGUUGUCCAAGGCAAAUGCUGGACCAACACGUACGGUUCCCAGUUUGGCAUCUGCACUGCCAAGACUCAGUGGUUGCAUGGCGAGCAUGUGGUCUUUGGCAAGAUGAAAGAAGGCAUGAGGGUCCAGAAAUGGCAAGACCAGCAAGAAGGUCACCAUUGCUGACUGUGGACAACUCUAAUAAAUGUGACUUUGUGUUUUGUCUUUGAAAAGAACUGACUGGGAGAACCCAGCAAGGCUGGUCUGGUGUUCAGAUUCUUCCUGGCCUCUGUGCAGCCUCCUUCCUUCUGGGUAAAGGAGCAAGACCCUCUGUGGAAUGAGGUCUUAUGAACUACACUCAAGCAAGACGGAAUCUCGUUCUGACGCCCAGGCUGGAGUGGAGUGGCAUGAUCUCGGCUCACUGCAACCUCCGCCUCCCGGGUUCAAGCAAUUCUUCUCCCUCAGCCUCCCAAGCAGCUGGGACUACAGGCGUGUGCCACCACACCUGCAUUUAGCCAUUUAGCCAAGUUCUAUUCCGUCUUGGUGGUGGUGGUGGGGUUCCCAUAGCCUGAAGAAUAAGGGCCUGGGGCUCUGGGCCUGGGGACUGAAGCUUAGGCCUUGGAGACCUGAAGCUCCAGUGGAAGAUGCUUUCCUGGACUUUCCUGGCAGCAAAAAAAACUUCACCUCUUGCCUAUGAAUUGCCUGUAUUUUAAAGGGUGUGUGUGUGUGUGUGUGUGUGUGAGAGAGAGAGAGAGAGAGAGAGAGAAAUUGAGGUGUAAUUAUUUUGCUGGGUGAUGACAACAAACAUUUACUGCUCCUAAACAGGCAAGGAAAUGAUUUAGCCAUGAACUUUUCAUGAUGCCUCAUUCCCUCCUGUGGUCCCGUGGUCCUCAGGCUGCGCAGUGGGAGAAGGGGGGGUGGGGGGCCACAAAUAACCCACGUGGAAAGGAAUGUGGGGUCAGCCUCAGGAAAACUGGGAGGGGAGGUCCCACCUGGUGGGGGUCUUUGUAAACCCUACCAAGGGAAGCCCAGAAACACAAAGAGGUGCAGGGAGAGAAAGAAGGAGGAGGUGUUUUAAAGAGUAAAGCCUGGCAUUAGAAAGUGUUAUUCGAGUAAAAUGGCCAACGUUUCCUUUCUUUUAAGAGCGACUCUUAAAUUCCAAUUACUCCGCCCCCAAAGACCAGUUGAGAAUAACCCCAACUGGAGGGAAUUAAUUUCCUUAGGAAUUUCACUCUUACAAGAUUAAUGGAGCCCCCCUGCAGAGAAACGGUAAAACUGUAAGUACAGUAGAUUUGCACCUGAAGGAUACAUAUUUUAAUUUCUGUUCUCAAGCUGCGAUAACAUCUUCUCCAGCUACUAUAAAAAGCAUAAAUGAGCACCCGCACGUCUGCUGAGAACUUGCAACCCCAGGCUCCCCGGGAGCAGCCCCGCGCCGACCCUCCACGUUGCUCGCCUGGGUGCGGCGUGGGCGCGGGGAUGGGAAGGCGCGGGGAUGGGAAGGCCCAGGGCAAACAGCCUCCCCGCGAGCCGGGUCGACCCAGCCCAGAGCAGAACCCCUGGACCAGAUUAUCUUAAGUCGACCCCUACCCCGCCCCCAGCCCUGUCACCCACCGUGGCACCGCCCUCCCGCGGGGACAAUUGGCCUGGACCAAGAAUGGGGAGCCUGAACAGUGGCCGGUCUCCCACCCGCUCCUCCGGAGCCUGCAGGGGGGUUCAGCCUCUGUCCAGCAGACUUCCUGGCCCCAAGAACGGGCCUUGGGAAGGGGCUCCCCUGACUCCAAGUUGACAGCAGCCCGUCCCUUCUCCUUAGCCCAAGCCACUCUGGCAAUGGGGACCUGCCUCCCUCACGCUAACCAAGGACCGGUCUGGGAUGGGGAGUUGGAGAUGGGCUGUGAGGACUCUUCUCUCAGCCCUUAAGAGUCCAGAACUUAUCUGGGAACACAUCAGCCAAUUUUCUGUUCCCUUUCUUGCCAGGAACUGCUUUUAUUGGAAGAAGUCUAUGUAUAUGCAUGCCAUAAAGGUUGUUUAUGCUGUCAUAGCUAGAUUUUUAUUGGUUGUAUUUUUGCUGCACUUGCUUGAAAAAUAAUUAUUUUCAAAGAAAAGAAGAAUUACAUAUCCAGUAAACUAAAUAAGACUCACUGUUUAUUAGAGACCUCUGACAGCUCCUCAAACACGAAAAAAGAUUUCCAAGUAGUGGAUGGACAAUUUAUGUUAUGUCUUAUCUGAUGGCUUCACAGUAAUCUGGUUUCCCCUAAGAAGCUAAGACUAUCUGGGCUAUUUGAGAUCCUGCAAGAUUUAUCAAGACUGUACUAGCCAUAUGAAAGCAUGUUAACACAGGGAGGGAGAGAGGAAAAGCCCUCCACAUGUUAUGACUGGCAUACAUGCUUCCAAAGCAUCGUUACUAACCGAAGGCCCAGUUCCUGAGGCGAUCACCCCAGACACACUGAAUGCAAUUUGUUGGUCACUGAGAGAACAGCACAAGAAAAACCCACCCCCAUGACUUGAUUACCUCCCACAACACGUGGGAAUCAUGGGAGCUACAAUUCAAGAAGAGAUUUGGGUGGAGACACAGCCAAACCACGUCACCAGACUGCCUCUUCAGGGAGUGAAUCACAAAUGUAUUCCUGACCACCCUGUUUUCUCCCCUCUUGAAUCAGGUAGUGAGUGAGUUCUGGCUCUAAGAGUUCAUGCAAGAGCUGAUUGUUUAAAGAGGCUGGCACCUCCUCCUCCCUCUCUUGCCACGUGAGACCCCGCUGCCCCUUGGCCUUCUGCCAUGAUUGAAAGCUUCCUGAGGCCCCACUGGAAGCAGAUGCUGACACCGUUGCUUCGUGUACAGUCUGUAGAACUAUGAGACAAAUAAACUGCUUUGUAAAUACCCAGCCUCAGUAUUCCUUUAUAGCAGUGCAAAACAGACUAAUCAAAGGGGGAAGCAUUUCCAGGUAAAGAAGAUAACCAAUUAUUGUUAUUGUAAUAUCUAAAGAAACCGUAAAUUUCAAAGGUAAAAUCUAACCUUAUUCUAGUGCCCAAGGAAGUGCUGGGAAUGUUUAAAUAAGAGGGCAGCAGGGAAUGGAAGGAGCGCCUCGGAAAUGCCUACUCCAUGCCAGGCUCCCUACUACAGGCUUUACGUGUUAUCUUGUACAUCUCAGUAAGAUGAGCAGACAUGGUGCUUUUUAAAAGACGUCAUGGGAGUUUGAAAGGGGGAAGAUUGGGUAAAUGGAAAAACAGAAGUCAUGGCUUUGCAAAAGUUGAAUCAAACUGCUCCUUGGCCCGGCCCCAUCACACACACAGAUCCCCCUUGGCAUGGCCAAAAUGAGUGUGUUCAUUGGCAAAUCAGCAGCCACUCUUGGAAGCUCUGACUUCUCUGGAAGGCAGAUGACAGAAGCAGUCUAUUUUAUUCCUAUUUUAUAGAUGAGGGAACUGAGGCUCAGAAACAAACACUCAUCAUUUGAAUACAGGAGCCAUUACCGAAUCAAACCUCUCUGGAAACCGCCUGAACUCUAUGUGAUCCAGGAAGGGGAAAGACUGUGUGCUCAGUUAGAGAAAGACUAGAGAUGGUCACACCAGCUACCAUUAGUUGAGACCUUACCAGACACAGUGCUCACCACUCCACAGUCACAGACAAACAUCUCACUUAAAACUCCAAAGUGGCCGGGUGCGGUGGCUCAUGCCUGUAGUCCCAGCACGUUGGGAGGCUGAGGUGGGCGGAUUAAGAGGUCAAGAAUUUGAGACCAGCCUGGCCAACAUGGCGAAACCCCGUCUCUACUAAGAAUACAAAAAUUAGGGCUGGGCGCGGUG